UACGAAGGGGGCUAGCGUUGCUCGGAAUCACUGGGCGUAAAGGGCGCGUAGGCGGCGACUCAAGUUAGAUGUGAAAGUCCUGGGCUUAACCUGGGGACUGCAUUUGAUACUGGGUUGCUUGAAUUCGGGAGAGGAUAGCGGAAUUCCCAGUGUAGAGGUGAAAUUCGUAGAUAUUGGGAAGAACACCGGUGGCGAAGGCGGCUAUCUGGACCGACAUUGACGCUGAGGCGCGAAAGCGUGGGGAGCAAACAGG
rnacentral:rRNA from 1 species